GAUGAACGCUGGCGGCGUGCCUAAUACAUGCAAGUCGAGCGGUAAGGCCCCUUCGGGGGUACACGAGCGGCGGACGGCUGAGUAACACGUAGGAACGUACCCCAAAGUGAGGGAUAAGCACCAGAAAUGGUGUCUAAUACCGCAUGUGCUCUAAGGAGUAAGGCUUCGGCGCUUUGGGAACGGCCUGCGCAUGAUUAGCUUGUUGGUGAGGUAAUGGCUCACCAAGGCGACGAUCAUUAGCUGGUCUGAGAGGAUGAUCAGCCAGACUGGGACUGAGACACGGCCCAGACUCCUACGGGAGGCAGCAGUAGGGAAUUUUCCACAAUGGGGGCAACCCUGAUGGAGCAACGCCGCGUGCAGGAUGAAGGCCUUCGGGUCGUAAACUGCUUUUAUAUGUGACGAAUAUGACGGUAGCAUAUGAAUAAGGAUCGGCUAACUCCGUGCCAGCAGCCGCGGUAA
rnacentral:rRNA from 1 species